ensembl:snRNA U1 U1 spliceosomal RNA
ACAAGACCUGGCAGGGGAGACACCAUGAUCAAGAAGGUGGUUCACCCAUCACACUCCGGCUGUGCUGACCCCUGCGAAUUCCCCAAAUGUAGGAAUCUCGACUGCAUAAUUAAUGGAAUUGGGAGACUGCGUUCGUGCUCUCCCU